rnacentral:rRNA from 1 species
UUCGUCUGAAGUGAGAGCGGCGCACGGGCUGAGUAACGCGUACGGAAUCUACCGAUAGUUGGGGGAUAGCCCUGGGAAACUGGGAGUAAUCCGCCAUAUCUUUAUGGAAUGGCAUCAUUUUAUAAAGAAAGCUGAGGCGACUAUUGAUGAUCGUGCGUCUGAUUAGGUAGUUGGUAGGGUAACGGCCUACCAAGCCGACGAUCAGUAGGGGGCGUGAGAGCGUGGCCCCCCACACGGGUACUGAGACACGGACCCGACUCCUACGGGAGGCAGCAGUAAGGAAUAUUGGUCAAUGGGCGAAAGCCUGAACCAGCCAUCCCGCGUGCAGGAUGAAUGCCCUAUGGGUUGUAAACUGCUUUUAUCUGGGAAUAAACCACUCUAUUUAUGGGGUGUUGAAGGUACCAGAAGAAUAAGCACCGGCUAACUCCGUGCCAGCAGCCGCGGUAAUACGGAGGGUGCAAGCGUUAUCCGGAAUCACUGGGUUUAAAGGGUGCGUAGGCGGCCAUGUAAGUCAGAGGUGAAAGGCUACAGCUUAACUGUGGAAUUGCCUUUGAUACUGUGUGGCUUGAAUAAGGAUGAGGUUGGCGGAAUGUGGCAUGUAGCGGUGAAAUGCAUAGAUAUGCCAUAGAACACCAAUUGCGAAGGCAGCUGACUGGACCUUUAUUGACGCUGAGGCACGAAAGCGUGGGGAUCAAACAGGAUUAGAUACCCUGGUAGUCCACGCCCUAAACGAUGCUCACUCGCUGU